UACGGAGGAUGCAAGCGUUAUCCGGAAUGAUUGGGCGUAAAGCGUCCGCAGGUGGCGAUGUAAGUCUGCUGUUAAAGAGUGAGGCUCAACCUCAUAAGAGCAGUGGAAACUACAUAGCUAGAGUACGUUCGGGGCAGAGGGAAUUCCUGGUGUAGCGGUGAAAUGCGUAGAGAUCAGGAAGAACACCAGUGGCGAAGGCGGCAUCCUGGACCGGCAUUGACGCUGAGGCGCGGAAAGCCCAGGGGGAGCAAACGGG
rnacentral:rRNA from 1 species